CCUACGGGGGCAGCAGUGGGGAAUAUUACACAAUGGGGGAAACCCUGAUGCAGCGACGCCGCGUGAGUGAAGAAGUAUCUCGGUACGUAAAGCUCUAUCAGCAGGGAAGAAAAAAAGUCUUUGGCUUUGGACGGUACCUGACUAAGAAGCCCCGGCUAACUACGUGCCAGCAGCCGCGGUAAUACGUUGGUGGCAAGCGUUGUCCGGAUUUACUGGGUGUAAAGGGCGUGUAGCCGGGUUGACAAGUCAGAUGUGAAAUCCUGCGGCUUAACCGCAGAACUGCAUUUGAAACUGUUGAUCUUGAG
rnacentral:rRNA from 1 species